UACGGAGGGUGCGAGCGUUGUCCGGAAUCACUGGGCGUAAAGGGCGCGUAGGCGGCGCGGGGAGUCAACGGUGAAAGCUCGGCGCUCAACGCCGAGUCGGCCGUCGAUACUCCCGAGCUCGAGUCCUGGAGAGGAAGGCGGAAUUCUCGGUGUAGAGGUGAAAUUCGUAGAUAUCGAGAGGAACAUCGGUGGCGAAGGCGGCCUUCUGGACAGUGACUGACGCUGAGACGCGAAAGCGUGGGGAGCAAACAGG
rnacentral:rRNA from 1 species